GGCCCCGUGGUGGAAUUGGUAGACGCGCGGGACUCAAAAUCCCGUGUCCGCAAGGGCAUGUCGGUUCGAGUCCGACCGGGGCCA
rnacentral:tRNA from 1 species